GAUUCCUGACAACACUGUUGGCUUCCCGGAGACUCCUUCAUCCUGCAGAAGAUGCAAUUCCACGGGGUCCUGAGAGAUUGGACAUGGGUGGGAUGUGGCAGUCCUCAUGGAAGACUCUUGAACAAGUGUCGCAACAGAACAGCUCCCCUCCGUCCCGGCACACCUCACACUCAUCCAAGUUUCUCAUCUAGAAGACAUCUGGCUGUGGGCUGUGAGACAUAAACCUCCAUGUCAAGCUCAUACAAAAUCAGCCACGCAAACACUGACCUCCAGGGCUGUUUUAACCAUUCGUGAGUCCCUGAGUUGGCCGGGCAUCAAAAUCAGUGUGGAAAAGACCUAAAUCUGAUUGGAGGACUGCUUUGGAGGUAAGGUGUGUAUAAAACUAUUUGAGCAUCCCUCCUCUGCUAACUAUUAUGUGUCAGUGCUAUUGCAUGAUAUUCUAUGUGAGUCCUGCCCCCUGGAGUUGUGCAAGAAGGUGACCUUGCCUAAAAUUGGCAUCUCACUGCAAUGAAAAGGAGCAAACCAGAAUUUCAUUUAAAGAAAGAACUCAUCCAUGAUUUCAGCAGAACCCAAAGCAGGCAGUCAUAUAGCAAGCAGAGAAUGGAUGGGGCCCAGGGGAUCAGAAAGUUUGCAUAGUACUGAGCACCAGAUAAGCAGUUGAGUUAAAAUGCCUCAGGAUUUGCUAGGUCGUGAUGGUUUCAGUCCUAACCAGCUCAGCACCCUAAUGGCUUCCCUGAGACUGGUGAUAGGGGCUCUGUAAAGGACCUCUUGUCCUGUAUGUACUCCUUUACAGGACUAAUGACAGGCUCCACACCUUAAACAUAAUAGCUUGGCCUGGUCUGUUCCUUCUGGCUGAUGCUUAAGACCAUCUUCGCUCCACCUGCACCUUGGAGUGCAUUUUUGGGAUUUUCCCUUUCAUCCAUACCCCUUACUUGAGAAUGCUGUUAUCCUCUCACAUUUACUCCUUCCCCUUAAUCACCAGGCCAGCCCUAUCCAUUACCACUUCAAGCUCUGUUUCAAGAGACCUCAGUGGUCUAGAGCUCAGCCUCCCAUACUCACUACCCAAGGGAAUAAGGAAGUAAGGAUAUUGGAGGGUUUCCACUGAAACAGAUGGAAAGAGUGCUUUCACACUGCAAGACAUCCAAGGCCCAAGCACAUCUACCUGGCUUGGGUGAUGCAACUGAAUUCACACAGCCACAUACUCCAACUGAGACUGAACAUGCUUCAGGCAACAGCAGUCAUGACACAGAACAUAUGCCUGGAGAAAGAAGUGGAAUAUUCUGGGGGUUGUAGUUCAGAAUUUAU
rnacentral:lncRNA from 1 species